rnacentral:rRNA from 1 species
AUACGGAGGGUGCAAGCGUUAUCCGGAUUUAUUGGGUUUAAAGGGUCCGUAGGCGGGCUUGUAAGUCAGUGGUGAAAUCUCAUAGCUUAACUAUGAAACUGCCAUUGAUACUGCAGGUCUUGAGUAAAGUAGAAGUGGCUGGAAUAAGUAGUGUAGCGGUGAAAUGCAUAGAUAUUACUUAGAACACCAAUUGCGAAGGCAGGUCACUAUGUUUUAACUGACGCUGAUGGACGAAAGCGUGGGGAGC